AGAGUUUGAUCCUGGCUCAGAACGAACGCUGGCGGCGCGCCUAAUACAUGCAAGUCGAGCGAGAAGACGUAGCAAUACGCUUGUAAAGCGGCGAACGGGUGAGGAAUACAUGGGUAACCUACCCUCGAGUGGGGAAUAACUAGCCGAAAGGUUAGCUAAUACCGCAUACGACUCUCGGUCUGCGGAUCGGGAGGGAAAGCGAUACCGUGGGUAUCGCGCUCUUGGAUGGGCUCAUGUCCUAUCAGCUUGUUGGUGAGGUAACGGCUCACCAAGGCUUCGACGGGUAGCUGGUCUGAGAGGACGAUCAGCCACACUGGCACUGCGACACGGGCCAGACUCCUACGGGAGGCAGCAGUAAGGAAUAUUGCGCAAUGGGCGACAGCCUGACGCAGCGACGCCGCGUGGGGGAUGAAGGUCUUCGGAUUGUAAACCCCUUUCGGCAGGGAAGAUGGAACGGGUAACCGUUCGGACGGUACCUGCAGAAGCAGCCACGGCUAACUUCGUGCCAGCAGCCGCGGUAAUACGAAGGUGGCAAGCGUUGUUCGGAUUUACUGGGCGUACAGGGAGCGUAGGCGGUUGGGUAAGCCCUUCGUGAAAUCUCCGGGCCUAACCCGGAAAGUGCGGAGGGGACUGCUCGGCUAGAGGAUGGGAGAGGAGCGCGGAAUUCCCGGUGUAGCGGUGAAAUGCGUAGAGAUCGGGAGGAAGGCCGGUGGCGAAGGCGGCGCUCUGGAACAUUUCUGACGCUGAGGCUCGAAAGCGUGGGGAGCAAACAGGAUUAGAUACCCUGGUAGUCCACGCCUUAAACUAUGGAUACUAAGUGUCGGCGGGUUACCGCCGGUGCCGCAGCUAACGCAGUAAGUAUCCCGCCUGGGAAGUACGGCCGCAGGGUUGAACUCAAGGGAUUGACGG
rnacentral:rRNA from 1 species